rnacentral:rRNA from 1 species
CCUACGGGAGGCAGCAGUAGGGAAUCUUCGGCAAUGGACGAAAGGUCUGACCGAGCAACGCCGCGUGAGUGAGGAAGGUCUUCGGAUCGUAAAGCUCUGUUGCCAGGGAAGAACGCCUGGGGGAGUAACUGCCUUCAGGUUGACGGUACCUGAGAAGAAAGCCCCGGCUAACUACGUGCCAGCAGCCGCGGUAAU